AUUGAACGCUGGCGGCAGGCUUAACACAUGCAAGUCGAGCGGGGGAAGGUAGCUUGCUACCGGACCUAGCGGCGGACGGGUGAGUAAUGCUUAGGAAUCUGCCUAUUAGUGGGGGACAACAUCUCGAAAGGGAUGCUAAUACCGCAUACGUCCUACGGGAGAAAGCAGGGGAUCUUUGGACCUUGCGCUAAUAGAUGAGCCUAAGUCGGAGUAGCUAGUUGGUGGGGUAAAGGCCUACCAAGGCGACGAUCUGUAGCGGGUCUGAGAGGAUGAUCCGCCACACUGGGACUGAGACACGGCCCAGACUCCUACGGGAGGCAGCAGUGGGAAUAUUGGACAAUGGGGGGAACCCUGUUCCAGCCAUGCCGCGUGUGUGAAGAAGGCCUUAUGGUUGUAAAGCACUUUAAGCGAGGAGGAGGCUACUUUAGUUAAUACCUAGAGAUAGUGGACGUUACUCGCAGAAUAAGCACCGGCUAACUCUGUGCCAGCAGCCGCAGUAA
rnacentral:rRNA from 1 species